UACGGAGGGUGCAAGCGUUAUCCGGAUUCACUGGGUUUAAAGGGUGCGUAGGCGGGCAUGUAAGUCAGUGGUGAAAUCUUCAGGCUUAACCUGAAAAUUGCCGUUGAUAUUAUGUGUCUUGAAUAUCGUUGAGGUUUGCGGAAUAUGUCAUGUAGCGGUGAAAUGCUUAGAUAUGACAUAGAACACCAAUUGCGAAGGCAGCAGGCUAAACGAACAUUGACGCUGAGGCACGAAAGCGUGGGGAUCAAACAGG
rnacentral:rRNA from 1 species